UACGAAGGGUGCAAGCGUUACUCGGAAUUACUGGGCGUAAAGCGUGCGUAGGUGGUUCGUUAAGUCUGAUGUGAAAGCCCUGGGCUCAACCUGGGAAUGGCAUUGGAUACUGGCGACCUAGAGUGCGGUAGAGGGGUGUGGAAUUCCCGGUGUAGCAGUGAAAUGCGUAGAGAUCUGGAGGAACACCGAUGGCGAAGGCAGCCUUCUGGGCCAACACUGACGCUCAUGCACGAAAGCGUGGGGAGCAAACAGG
rnacentral:rRNA from 1 species